CGUAGGUGGCAAGCGUUGUCCGGAUUUAUUGGGUUUAAAGGGUGCGUAGGCGGCCCUGUAAGUCAGUGGUGAAAUACUCCAGCUUAACUGGAGGGGUGCCAUUGAUACUGCAGGGCUUGAGUACAGAUGAAGUAGGCGGAAUUGACGGUGUAGCGGUGAAAUGCAUAGAUAUCGUCAAGAACUCCGAUAGCGAAGGCAGCUUACUAAACUGUAACUGACGCUGAGGCACGAAAGUGUGGGGAUCAAACAGGAUUAGAUACCCUGGUAGUCCACACUGUAAACGUUGAUGACUCGAUGUUGGCGAUACACAGCCAGCGUCCAAGAGCAAUCGUUAAGUCAUCCACCUGGGGAGUACGCCGGCAACGGUG
rnacentral:rRNA from 1 species